AGGGUCUGAUGUUUCGUCGACCGUCGAAGGAGUGUGACUCCCGUCCAUGUAGAUAUAUCGGUCUUUGUAAGAGUCCGAUGUAUCAUCGACGAUGGUGCCGUCGGUCUCAGGCGGAUACCAAGUCCGAGUCGGCACGUCGGGGCUCGACCUUGGUGAGCGCCGAUCGUCAGUCGAAGAGUUAAAACUCCGAGAUUUCAAACUGGAUUCGUAUUC
rnacentral:lncRNA from 1 species